rnacentral:lncRNA from 1 species
UUUUUAUUUAAUAUGUAACGGCCAAUUUGCAUAAAAAAUUCACUAGUUUUGGGCUUUUGCAAAAUUGAGUCACCUUUUUCAUUUUUGCAGAUUCGGUCUGUUUUUUCAAAAAGAUGACCAAACUAUCCCUCUUUUAAAAUGCAUAAAAAGUACAUGCAUUAAUUAUCUUAAAAAAUGCAGCUGACAAGUCAUUAUUACAGUUACCUUUUUCUUGAAAAAUGAAGUUCUCAUUAACAUACAAAUAAAAAAUUUCAAAUAAUAAAAGCAAAAAAGAAAGAAUGGAAUACACCUUAAAUGGUGCAACAUCGUUCCAAAUUGUGCAAUAUUUCUUCCAAAUAGUGUAAUAUUUGUGUAAACAGUGCAAUGUUUGCACAAUUUAUAUAAUGUUGCACAAUUUUUUAUACUAAAUUACGAAUAACAUAGUAUACUACGCGCAAAUAAUAUAACAUAUUACAAUAUACUAUAAAAAUCAUGUAUUAUAUGUUUAAACGGUGAAUAUUUUGCACUAUUUGUACAAAUAUUUACACCAUUUGCAUAGAUGUUGUAUUAUUAUGAGAGAAUGUUGCACCAUUUAGAUAUUAUGUUGCACUCUUUUUUAAAAAAAAUUAAAAUAUAUUAUAUAUUAAAUAAAGUGUUAAAUUUCUUGGAAAUGACAACUGUUAAGUCAUAAUUAUAUGUAACUUUCUCGAGAAACGAGAAUCCUCAUUUAACUAAGAUAAAAUAAAAAAUAAAAUAUCAUUAAUAUAAUGAAAGAGUGCAACAUCUUCUUAAAGAGUGCAACAUAGUCUCAAAUAGUGCAACAUUCUCUUCCAAAUAGUGCAGUAUUUAUGUAAAUAGUGAAAUAUAUGCAUCGUUAAUACACAUAUUGCAUGAUUUUUAUAUAAAAUUAUGAAUAAUAUAAUAUAUUACGUGAAAAUAAUACGAAAAUAAUAUAACAUAUUAAAAUAUACUAUAAAAAUCAUACAUUAUAUGUAUAAACGGUGAAUAUUUUGCACUAUUUGUACAAAAAUUUACACUAUUUGCAUAGAUGUUGCACUAUUAUGAAAUAAUGUUGCAUCAUUUAGAUCUUAUGUUGCACUCUUUCUUUUUUAAAAUUAAAGUGCAUUGUAUAUUAAAUAAAGUGUUAAAUUUCUUGGAAAUGACAACUGCUAAGUCAUAAUUAUAUGUACCUUUCUCGAGAGAUAAGAAUCCUCAUUUAAUUAAGAUAAAAUAAAAAAUAAAGUAUCAUUAAUACAAUGAAAGAGUGCAAUAUUUAUGUAAAUAGUGCAAAAUAUGUAUCGUUAAUACACAUAUUGAAUGAUUUUUUAUACAAAAUUACGAAUAAUAUAAUAUAUUACGUGGAAAUAACACGAAAAUAAUAUAACUUAUUACAAAAUACUAUAAAAAUCAUACAUUAUAUUAUAAACGGUACAUAUUUUGCACUAUUUGUAUAAAUAUUUACACCAUUUGUAUAUAUAUUGCACUAUUAUGAGAGAAUGUUACACCAUUUAGAUGGUAUGUUGCACUCUUUCUUUUUAAAAAUUAAACUGCUUAUCUAUUAAAUAAAGAGUGCAAUUUCUUGGAAAUGAUAACUGCUAAGUAAUAAUUGCAUGUACCUUUCUCGAGAGACGAGAAUGCUCAUUUAAGACAAAAUACAAAAAGUAAAGUAUUGUUAAUAAGAUGAAAGAGUGCAACAUUCUCUCAAAUAGUGCAACAUCCUUUUAAAUGGUGUAACAUUAGAGAGAAUAUUGCACUAUUUCAUUCUAAUGUUGCAAUUUUUUAUUAUAUUAAUAAUAAUUUAUUUUUUAUUUUAUCUUAAAUAAAUGAGGAUUUUCGUCUUUCGAGAAAAGUACAUAUAAUUAUGACUUAGCAGCUGUCAUUUUCAAGAAAUUUAAAAUUUUAUUUAAUAUACAAUACACUUUAAUUUUUAAAAAGAAAGAGUACAACAUAACAUCUAAAUGAUGCAACAUUAUCUCAUAAUAGUGCAACAUCUAUGCAAAUGGUGUAAAUUUUUGUACAAAUAGUGCAAAAUAUUCACCGUUUAUACAUAUAAUAUAUGAUUUUUAUAGUAUAUUUUAAUAUGUUAUAUUAUUUUCGUGUUAUUUUCACGUAAUAUAUUAUAUUAUUCGUAAUUUUGUAUAAAAAUCAUGCAAUAUGUGUAUUAACUAUGCAUAUAUUGCACUAUUUAUAUAAAUAGUGCACUAUUUGGAAGAGAAUGUUGCACUAUUUGAGACUAUGUUGCACUCUUUAAGAGGAUGUUGCACUCUUUCAUUGUAUUAAUGAUAUUUUAUUUUUUAUUUUAUCUUAAUUAAAUGAGGAUUCUCGUCUCUCGAGAAAGGUACAUGUAAUUAUGACUUAGCAGUUGUUAUUUCCAAGGAAUUUAACACUUUAUUAAUAUACAAUGCACUUUAAUUUUUAAAAAGAAAGAGUGCAAUAUAACAUCUAAAUGGUGCAACAUUAUCUCAUAAUAGUAUAACAUUUAUAUAAAUGGUGUAAAUAUUUGUACAAAUAGUGCAAAAUAUUCACCGUUUAUACAUAUAAUACAUGAUUUUUAUAAUAUAUUGUAAUACGUUAUAUUAUUUGCGCGUAGUAUACUAUAUUAUUCGUAAUUUAGUAUAAAAAAUUGUGCAACAUUAUAUAAAUUGUGCAAACAUUGCACUGUUUAUACAAAUAUUACACUAUUUGGAAGAAAUAUUGCACAAUCUGGAACAAUAUUGCACCAUUUAAGGUGUAUUCCAUUCUUUUUUUUUACUUUUAUUAUUUGAAGUUUUUUAUUUGUAUGUUAAUGAGAAUUUCAUUUUUCAAGAAAAAGGUAACUGUAAUAAUGAUUUGUCAGCUGCAUUUUUUAAGAUAAUUAAUGCAUAUA